rnacentral:rRNA from 1 species
GACGAACGCUGGCGGCGUGCCUAAUACAUGCAAGUAGAACGCUGAAGAGAGGAGCUUGCUCUUCUUGGAUGAGUUGCGCACGGGUGAGUAACGCGUAGGUAACCUGCCUUGUAGCGGGGGAUAACUAUUGGAAACGAUAGCUAAUACCGCAUAACAAUGGAUGACACAUGUCAUUUAUUUGAAAGGGGCAAUUGUUCCACUACAAGAUGGACCUGCGUUGUAUUAGCUAGUAGGUGAGGUAAUGGCUCACCUAGGCGACGAUACAUAGCCGACCUGAGAGGGUGAUCGGCCAGACUGGGACGGAGACACGGCCCAGACGCCUACGGGAGGCAGCAGUAGGGAAUCGUCGGCAAUGGGGGCAACCCUGACCGAGCAACGCCGCGCGAGGGAAGAAGGUUUUCGGAUCGUAAAGGUCUGUUGUAAGGCAAGAAAGGGGGUGAGAGUGGAAAGUUCACACUGUGACGGUAGCUUACCAGAAAGGGACGGCUAACUACGUG